CGAACAGCUUUGUGGAAGGAGUGAAUGAAAAAUGAAAUACAGACAACGUGUUCUUAGAUUGAUACUCAUCUCUUCUCUAUGCAAAGCACCCUCUUGGACAGAAUGGUUGUAUAAUAAGGUGAUGUCAAACUUACUCUACUUUUAUGGCAUGUUUGGAGUGGUGACUGAAUUAUUGCUUAAGAGUCUUUGGAGGAGAGGCAGAGUUCCAACGUUUGGCAGUUUCUGGAAGUAAUCAAUGGGAGACCUGACAUUACAGAGGGAUUGAGAAAACUACAAUGUUGUUCUCUAAUUUUUGUUGGAGAUAACUCUCCAUUUCACUUAGAGGCUCUCCACAUGACUUCCAAUCUAGAUAGGCGAUGUAGUGCAUUCAUUGAGGUAUGCAUCAGGUCUAUCCCAUCCUGUUUUAUAUUCAUAUAUGGCUAGCGUGAGAAUGAGCUUUAUUUACUAGGGGGUGUGGGGAGCAUAUACUCUGAAAAAUUUUAAGGAUUGUAUUUUCUAAC